CUCCUCACGAGUCACGACUUCACUAAGCCAUCAUCUCCGAUUCUCUGGAGACUGCCGCUCACAGAUAUGCGACAACCACUCGGUCUCCGGUUUUCCACCGCUCACAGCCUUGUCUCCGUCUCCGGAAACCCUAGAUCUACCUACGAGGCUUCGAGUUUUUAGAUUUCUCCGGUGACCGAGGCAGAAAACAAGGACGUUGCACUCCAACAGUUGGUUGAAGUUUCUGUUGCUAAUGAUCAAUCUAUGUGGAAUAAGGUAAUAUUGAGGAUUAUAUGGAGGAUUCCAUUGAGAUUAUAAUUGAAAAAUUGCUUAAUGUUACCAAGGAUGGUGCU